UUUGUUUUCCUCUUGGUCUGAGCUGUGCUCUAACUAUGUGCUGAGAACUCAUGUGUGACAUAGGCUGGAUAGAGUUCUGUGAAAGUGGCUAUGCCUACACAGAACUUCAGAAUGUGACCUCAUUUGGAAAUGGAGCCUUUGAGAUGUAAUCAAUGGAGAUGAGGAUAUCCUAUAGAAACAUGGGGGUUACAGAACAAGAAGAUGGAAGCAUGCAGAAAGAGGCACAAGUUGGAAUGUUGCUGCAGGUCUGAAUCACAAGAAUGGUCAGGAAAUGCCAACGGGUCCUUGUGUAAACAGGGGUGAAAUCCGGUCCAGAUCUUGCCAAGAGAAUACGGCCAGGCUGCUGCUCUGAACUGUAUAGCCUCUGAGACUGAGAGAAUACGGCCUUCUGUUCUGAGUUGCCUAGCCCAUCCCCUAUCUCGUGGCAGCCAUAGGACACUGAGUAACUGCCGUCCUCCUUGGUCACCAGCUCCCGGUUGUUCGCAUGACCUGUCCUGUAGUGUAGGCAGUAAGUGAGUCUGAGGAAGGGUGUGUUCCAGCUCUACCCAGGAACAGCAGGGAUCUGUAGGACUUUGGUCUGGGAAAGACUCUUGGGAACUUUAUAUGGAUGCAGCUUGGGAAGGCAGAGAGCAAGGUGAUGCAGGGUAUUCAAUGCCAGCGUGAGCAUGGGGGCUGCAGGGCAGGCAGGCACUCAUCCUGGCUGAGCUUUCUGGCUGCUCCCAGGGUCAGAUGGAAAGAAGGCCAGCUUGUGCUUCCUCCCUCCUUUUCCCUCUUCACUGUUAUGAAAUGCAGGUGAUUGGAAGACAGCUAUUACUUUCUGAAAUCCAAGGUGUGUGUCUGGGGGUGGUGGUGGGGCGGCUACCAUCACAAAAGGCAGAAUUAAGCUACGAAAUUAAACCCUCUAAAUAUAAAUAAUAAAUUCUCUCAUUGGUGCCCAACCCCGGGGCCAACGUAAGG
rnacentral:lncRNA from 1 species